UUUGGUGUAGGUUUUAUGGUCCCUGUGUAAUGCCAGCACUGCUGAAUUUGCCGGGAUCCUAAAAUGAGCUAUUUUACAUGGAUAGCUCUGGACUGCACCCGUUUCCAGCCCUGGACAGGACACGAUGGUUUGGGCUGCACAGACAGGAUAUUCCCGGGACACCAGGGCAUGGUCUUGGCACCCAAAUGCACAGACCAGAUGGCUGAUGGACUCAGAACUUCCAGGGAUUCUCCAAAGAGGGGAAGCAGAGGUGCUGGAUACUGCCCUAAUCCCAGUGAGUACCAGGAGGCAUGAGGAGAGGCACCAACAGCUGGAGGCACCUGAAUUGGCUCCACCUGUGUGCUGCUGCCUGGCUUUGUCCACAGUUUCUUCUGCUUCUCAGUUUCAGGAAACGGACUGUUUUAUUGUCCCCGUCACUCUCCGAGCCCUUUCCGUCUGUGUGCCUGACCACACAGUCUCUUGGCCGUUGGGUUUUUGCCAGGACCCACAAGUGACCAUGGACAGACGCGGCGCUGGCUGCUGGCCGUGAUGUUUCGUGGCUCUAGGAGCUGCUGGGCACAACGGCUGCUUGCUCGCAGGGCUGCCAGCGUCAGCGGGAACUGGCUGAGGCCACAGCUGCUCCCACCACUGUAUGAUGAGGUUGUGGAGUUUUACUGCAGACGUGGGUGGUGUUUGUGCUGAACUAAAACAAACUCAAGGAUGUCCCGGCCCUGGACAUGAGGACUUUGCUGUGUGGAAGCCGAGAGCUGUCCCUGAAGGAUAAAAGAUGCUCCAGGACAUCCAAGGUAAAGCCAGCCCCUCUGACAAGGUUUUGAAACCCUCCCGCAUCGGCUGGUGUCAGAGGGAAGUGGCUCUGGCCAGACAGACUGCAGAGACAUCGGGAUCCAGCCAAGCAGCGAGGAUGCUGCAGAAAUAGAGCUGCUGUGCCGGGAUUUUCUGUGAUCAGUAACGGGCAGGGUGGGUGCCAGUGAGGAGUGAAACGUGUUGGACCUGCACGUGUGAAGGGUGCGAGAACCCCGGGUUUGGGGAGCCCCAGUUUGGCUGGGACGUCUCAUGUGCAGGAGUCGGUAUUUCCUCCGGUGAGUCUGUGCUUUGUGUUCCAGCCUCUCUCCUUGGACGGCACGGGCCGGGUGCGGAUGUACGGACCGGUGCUGGGCCCUGCUCUGCUCCUCCGCUCCGGGGCCUCACGCAGGCAGCCGCGCUCAAAAUGUGCUGCGGUGGGAGCAGAGGCCACUCCAGGGACCCACCCCAGCUCCUGCAGCCCUGGCGGUGGACAGUGAAGCCGGGCAGAGGGAGCGAUGCCAUCCCAGAGCUGCUGGUCCCUCGGGGGGUGUUGGUGGCCCCGGUGAUGCCCGUGGCUGUGCCCACAUGUGGGGAAGGCUCAUCCCGGUGCCCAGGCGAGGAGCGUGGCCCCAGGGCGGGGGAGGCUGUGCCCGGUGAGGUGAGUGCCCUGGGGCAGCGGGGAGGGGAGCCAGAGCUGCGCGGGGGGACCAGGACACUCGGCUCCCGGGGAUGGGGAGGGCACAUGCUGCUGGUGCUGGCCCCGGCCCCACCUUGGGGCUGCUGGAGUCGGUCUGUGACGCUGCUGCGUGGGCAGGUUUUCAGCCAGAUGUGGCUGUCACCCACCCUUCUGGGGAGAAACGGGACAUUUCUGGUGUCCCGUCCCCUCUCAGGUGUGCGGUGCCGGGCUGCUGCUGCCGAGGGUCCGGGCAGAGCUGCCCGUGCCUGGGCAGCCGCAGGUUUGUCCG